UGACUCAGUGGUAGAGUGCUUGCCUUGCAUGCAUGAGGCCCUGGGUUCGAUUCCUCAG
rfam:Dipodomys ordii contig_63699, whole genome shotgun sequence.